rnacentral:rRNA from 1 species
AGAGUUUGAUCAUGGCUCAGGAUGAACGCUGGCGGCGUGCUUAACACAUGCAAGUCGAACGGAGUUUUAACGGAAGUUUCGGAUGGAAGUUUAGAACUUAGUGGCGGACGGGUGAGUAACGCGUGGGUAGCCUGCCUCAUACAGGGGGAUAACAGUUAGAAAUGACUGCUAACACCGCAUAAUAUAGCGAAACCGCAUGAUUUUUGCUAUCAAAUAUUUAUAGGGUAUGAGAUGGGCCCGCGUCUGAUUAGCUAGUUGGUGGGGUAAAAGCCUACCAAGGCGACGAUCAGUAGCCGGCUUGAGAGAGUGACCGGCCACAUUGGGACUGAGACACGGCCCAAACUCCUACGGGAGGCAGCAGUGGGGAAUAUUGGACAAUGGGGGAAACCCUGAUCCAGCCGACGCCGCGUGAGUGAAGAAGUAUUUCGGUAUGUAAAGCUCUAUCAGCAGGGAAGAUAAUGACAGUACCUGACUAAGAAGCCCCGGCUAACUACGUGCCAGCCGCCGC